GGCAGAGCGGCUUUGCUUAAACAAAAAAAAAAGACGACAGAGCGGCGGCAGUGGAAAAUCAGAAGAGCGGCGGCCGUGAGCGUCGCUGUUGUUUAUUCGCGCGAUUAAUGGUGUAGGAGACACUUCUAGCAGCCACGAAUUCCGUUCGACGGCGAACAUCAGGCGGCUGCAAAUAGCCUAUUUCCAGCGUAUAUAGCGUAAUAAGGAUUGACAACGGCCAGCGAUCAAACGUCCAUGAGGCCCUUCUCUUAGAUCUCAAUGGCCGCCAUAAUGCUCUGUCAUAUGUUGCUGGGUGUCCCCAUAGAAAGAGUACCGUCCAUCUAACCUUAUUGAUAGGUUCAGAAAAUAUGAAGUGACUUUGACAGCCUAGCACAGGUUUGGUCAGAUCUUAUUACCGAUCAUUAUUUCUGCCUUUUCAUUGAGUAUUCUGAUAUAAUGUUGUUUUUACCAGAUUUGUUAAAUGUCGCAAACAAUUUUAGCAAAACUAUUGGUAUCAUGUUGAUACCACGAAGAGAUCAAAUAUGUUGGAUGGGUAUACAUUUCUUAGCAUGUUAGCAGAUACUAGCUUGUUACUUGCGAUGGCACUUGAAUUACCAGAGAUGCAUUUUCCAAGAAAAAUGCUCUUAUGAUACGUAACAGUAGGGAUAUUCUAACAAAUAUUAUAUAUGUAACAGUAGGGAUAUUCUAAGAGUUGCUUUAUUUAUAAUAAAGCGGUGCGAAAGCCUAUUUUGAGGAGGGAUAUUCUAAGAAAUAUUUCAGCUUUUUUUUUCUUCAGAGCAUGCUCUUAUGUACUCCUUUCCCCAAGAAAAUUGAGUGAUUAUUAGGACUAUUUUCUCCCUUCAUACUGUGUUGUCAAAUGAAAGAAAUAGAGAUGUACCAAAUGUUAUAUCUUGUAUUACUACAAAAUAAAUUCAUGUUUUUCUUUUUUUCUUAGUUAAACUCGCAUGAGAUUUAUAUAGAAUACUUCCCCUCCACGCCAUGCAUCUUGUGUGGCAUAUAUGAAUCGAGACAUUUUUAUUCUUGGGUCAAGUGAUAUUUGUUCUUUGUUGUAACUAAUAGAGGCUUCUCAUUGUUCUUUGCAUUUUGAUCAUGGAUGACAACUCCAGUAUGCACUAUUCAAUCAUUUGACAUCAGCCCUGACAAUUCUUUUCCCAUCCAUGAAAACAGCAAGGUUGACAAAGGGAAUAAUACAUUCAGUUGAUAAUUUAAGUUGUAAAUAUUAAUCAACCCUGAUUCAGAGAACAGAAAAUUUGGUUCAGCGCCACGGCCUGAGAGAUGAACCUAAGUUCACCUUUUUAGUAUCAACCACUACUGCUGUGUGCUUUUCACUCUUUGUGACAAUGACAAUGUUCAAAUUUUCAGAUAUAUGUCCCACCACCUCUACCUUUUUUUGCAGGUAACCUGUACCGAUGUAGUGUAAUUUGAACCGGUCAAAGUUAUCAUGUGUUUUCACCAGGUCAUGAGUUAUAAUGCUAUUUAGCAUUCCUGUAGUUUAACUCAUAUGUGUUUAUUCGAGCUAUUCAUCCUACAUUCCUGUAAUUCUUUGUUCUUAUUUCCAAGAUAAGUGCAGUGCUGAUAUAUUGCUACUUUAUGAUAGAAAAGGUCCAUGCUGAUGGGGGACAAGAGGUCUCAGGUUUGGUUGAAGCACAAAUAUAUACAAUGGUGUGUGGGAGAAGCUGAAAGAUGAUGUGGUUUUUCUGUUAUGUUAUUCCUUUUGGGUCACUAACUUGCUGUCAUCACUAUCAAGAUGCUUAGUUCAUAUUGGAAUCGUAAUGUCUCAGUGUGGACACACUGUUUGGACAACUAAGAUCAUUGAUUGUAUUACCCAAAUAUAUGGAGCCAGAGUGCUUCCGAUGAAUGUAGCGAGAGUGUCAAUGCCCAGUGCUUCUACAUAUGAAAAUGUGCUCGUGAUAUUACUUAAUAUGUUUGGAAAUAAUGAAGGUUUUGUUGGAAUGAUGGUUGUUUCAGUCUUGAUGGCAGUCGAUAGGAGAAUAGCAAAUGAAGCAGCUUGUUACCUCAUAGUUUUGUACUUCUUGGCUCAGGAUUGUAUCUCCGUCUUUGGAAUUUUUUAAUCUUGAUGAUUAGGAUGUUGCUCUGAAUAAUUAAGUAGGUUUCAUUCCUACUUAAGUGUAUUUUAUGACGUGGUCGACGAUAAUGUGUUGUAUAGCCACAAUUAUAGGUUUACUUUUAACUUUGGUUUCCAUGGCUACCUUAUGAAAGCACAUGCAGGUGGAGGUACCUAUAUUAGACAUUAUAACUUCAA